UACGGAGGGUGCGAGCGUUGUCCGGAAUCACUGGGCGUAAAGGGCGCGUAGGCGGCCCUGGCAGUCGGUGGUGAAAGCCCGCGGCUCAACUGCGGGUCGGCCACCGAUACUCCAGGGCUCGAGUUUGGUAGAGGCAGAUGGAAUUCCGGGUGUAGCGGUGGAAUGCGUAGAGAUCCGGAAGAACACCGGUGGCGAAGGCGGUCUGCUGGGCCGAGACUGACGCUGA
rnacentral:rRNA from 1 species